GACGAACGCUGGCGGCGUGCUUAACACAUGCAAGUCGAACGGAAAGGCCCUGCUUUUGUGGGGUGCUCGAGUGGCGAACGGGUAAGUAACACGUGAGUAACCUGCCCUUGACUUUGGGAUAACUUCAGGAAACUGGGGCUAAUACCGGAUAGGAGCUCCUGCUGCAUGGUGGGGGUUGGAAAGUUUCGGCGGUUGGGGAUGGACUCGCGGCUUAUCAGCUUGUUGGUGGGGUAGUGGCUUACCAAGGCUUUGACGGGUAGCCGGCCUGAGAGGGUGACCGGCCACAUUGGGACUGAGAUACGGCCCAGACUCCUACGGGAGGCAGCAGUGGGGAAUAUUGCACAAUGGGCGGAAGCCUGAUGCAGCAACGCCGCGUGCGGGAUGACGGCCUUCGGGUUGUAAACCGCUUUCGCCUGUGACGAAGCGUGAGUGAGGGUAAUGGGUAAAGAAGCACCGGCUAACUACGUG
rnacentral:rRNA from 1 species